ensembl:lncRNA novel transcript
AGGAGCCCAGCGAGGGUGCCUACAAGAGGAGUCAAAGGGCAAAGGGUGAGACCCUUCCACCGGUUCCCCUGGACUCUAGCCUCAGGGACGUCCUGCUCCUGGGGGCAGAUGAAAAAAUUGAGGCUCAAAGAAGUCCACCAAAUUGAGAGUGAAGUAGGGGAAACAGCAUUUAACGCUUACAUUCUAAUGAUUUGUGUAAGAGCAGCAGGACAAGCUAUACAAAGAAAAAGGUGGAAUUAUCAGGAUGGAAUUAAAGAUGCUUCCAAACAGAGGGGAUAUCUCAAGCCAUGACUCAGAGAGUUCUCCCCACAUUAUUAAUGGUAUGGGAAUUAGGAGAAGGUCAUCUGACUCACAUGGAUCACCAUAUAAUUCCUUCUGGAGAACAGAAAAAAUGCAGAAGAGGAAAACCUCCAUAUGUGAAGCUAUGGCAAGGGAGUCUCCCCACCCCGCGCUCCAACAGAGUCUGGAGAUAAAAGGUGUUUAACUGAAGAUGCAGAAAAUUUCAAUUGAGGAAUGCUAGUCACAAUUAUACCCACAGCUGAUGAGAAGUAACAUCAGAAAUCUGCCGUCUGUUUCCUCCUUCAAUAUUUAAGAAUUUCACUUUUUAAGUCUUUUUGAUUUGAGAAAUAACAUGUUUAACUAUCGUUAAUAUUUGAA